AUUGAACGCUGGCGGCAGGCCUAACACAUGCAAGUCGAGCGAGCGGCGGACGGGUGAGUAAUGUCUGGGAAACUGCCUGAUGGAGGGGGAUAACUCCUGGAAACGGUAGCUAAUACCGCAUACCAUCAGAUGUGCCCCGAUGGGAUUAGCUAGUAGGUGGGGUAACGGCUCACCUAGGCGACGAUCCCUAGCUGGUCUGAGAGGAUGACCAGCCACACUGGAACGGAGACACGGUCCAGACUCCUACGAGAGGCGGCAGUGGUGAAUAUUGCACAAUGGGCGCAAGCCUGAUACAGCCAUGCCGCGUGGGUGAUGAAGGCCUUCGGGUUGUAAAGCACUUUCAGCAGGGAGGCGUUACCCGCAGAAGAAGCACCGGCUAACUCCGUGCCAGCAGCCGCGGUAAUAC
rnacentral:rRNA from 1 species